CACCCCCUGCGCUACAGGUCAGCGGUCAGGUAAUUCUUGAGCCGACAAUCUUUGACCUCGGGAACAGGCUUCAGCGGCCGGUGUGCAUGACCGCCAUGCGCGGUAAGCCUGAAGGACGCUGCGAAGUUCCCAACUUGAACUUACGGUUCAAGGUCAACGGCCGCGACGGUACGGGCGGAGGGUGC
rnacentral:other from 1 species